GUGAUUUCAGAUAGAAAACUUAAUUGAAGGAACUAAUCAAACUCAUAUCUUUGGGAAUAUUUAGUAAUCUACUUGUCAUACAAUUGCAUUAAAGCUAUCAAGCAUAUCAAACUUACCCAAAUUCAAAUUAGAAUUUCAGCAUUCUUCGACUGUGGAAUCAAAAAGAUUGCAUUUGAAUACAGCAAAAGAAAAGAAAAAGGAAGAAGUUACAAUAAUCCAUGGUUUAAUCGUCAACUAAUCGUGCCUAACAGAAAUCCCAAAACUGACUUCAUCUUAAUCAAUACGUAACAUUCUAAAAGCAAUCAAAAUUAAACAAUUUUUUUUUAAAGGAGAGCUUUU
rnacentral:misc_RNA from 1 species